GGAAGUAAAAGUCAUAACAAGGUUUCCGUAGGUGAACCUGCGGAAGGAUCAUUACAAAAUGUUAUGGGAUGUCCUAACGGGCACCCAAGCAAGCACAUCCAUAUUAAACUUUUGAAACAAUUACUAGUCUGAUAAGGCCAUAUGCUGUAAAAAUUUAAAUAUAUUAAAACUUUCAACAACGGAUCUCUUGGCUCUC
rnacentral:misc_RNA from 1 species